UGGAAGGAGAGCACAGAGACGGAUCCAAACCAUGGAGCUUAUGCAGCUGUUAUAAAGCAAAGCAGGAAGGAGGGUGGAGACAAUGAUAAUAAUCCAGACUGUGUUACAUAUGCUGCCGUUACAAAGGAGAAGAAGAAGAAAGAUCCAUUCCCUCCCACAACCAGCAUCGAGCCAUGUCCAGAGGAGGAUCCCAUCUAUUCUUCCAUCAUCUAAGAGCAAGCCUGCACAGAUUUAUUAAAUGUGUGUCUAUUUUACAUGAAACUAUACAUUAUAUUAUAAAUAUGUUAGUAUACUUCCACUCUUACCAGAAACAGCAUUAAAUCAUUUGUUACUUUGGGGUUUAAACUGUGUUUUAUAGGAUGAAACCAGGUGAUGCCCAGUGCAGCGUCUGUGUAAGCAGGAAGUCUUUGUUCACACACGUUUUCUUCAAUACAUUUUAGUUCUCAUUUCUGAAUCAAAUUAAUGUCUUAAAUCUGUAAAAACACUUAAUUUUCUGUAUUUCUAAUUAUAUAUUUCGUCAGGGGAUCAAUCUAAUGUGUGAACCACUUUUAACUUUUAAAACACACUGAUAAAGAAAAGACUACACUCAGUUUUUUGUGGCUAUAAAAGUACAGGACCGAUGCAACACGUAAUGGAGAAGUGGUCGGGGUGAACUUUUACUCUGCAGAAGAGAAAUCAACCAAGAAGCCAAAGAAGAUUCCCUCUGUGGAAGUAACAGCUUCCACAGAGGGUCUUCAUUUCAGCAGCGUGUGGAAAAUUAUGCAUCCAUAAACACGUCCACGUCUAUGUUUGAAGAACUGAUUAAAGGAAGUGAAAAACUACCAGGACUGUUUUUGUUUUACUAGAAAUAACAGUUUGAUCUACAGUUCAGACAGAGGACUGAUGAAGCUGCACAUAGCAACACAUCACCAGUUUAUUAUUGUUUAUGCAUCAGUUAAUGUACAGAGAAUGUAGAGAGAGGGAUUCGUGGAUGUACAGGAAACAAUGAAGCUUUGUUGACUCAAAAAGCUUUAAAAAUUUCAGAUAAAAAAAAAAAACUCAUCAUCAUCUUAAAGAAACAUGAUUAAUUAAGUUGGAAAACAUUAUUAAAUAUGCAGAUUUUAUCCUGGUCUGUAAAAUCCUUCUUGGAAAAAACCCCACUUAUUAAAAAAAAUCAAAGCAGGUGAACCAGGCAAGUUCCAAAGGCGACUAGUUGCAUCCAGAGGUG